GAUUUGAGUGCUUCAUUGGAAAAAAAAAUAAUAAGCAGGCGUUUAUUAAACAUUUGUUCUUCCUGAUGUGUUUUUUUUUCUUAUAUUUUAAUAAAAAUAAGUUAUUAAUAAUUUAAAUAUUAAUCCCACCACAAAACAAUCUGUAAACAAUGCUAGAAAUUAAAAAAGUGCUGUAUAGUUUAGGAAGUAAGAUUUGAACACAGACUGAUACAAAUGUUGAUGAUGGGUUUGCUAGUAACAACUUUAAAUUUGAAAAUGAACCAUUGAUUAAAUCCAUGAUCAUUGCUCUAAACUAGGCCUUUUGUCAAUGUAUUCAUCACAGAGUAAUGCUCAACAGCAUAUGCAUAAACUUAAAGGGACACUAGUCACAAGAACAACAACAGCUAAUUGUAUUUGUUCUGGUGAGUAGAAUCAUUCCCUUCAGGCUUUUGCAGUAGACAGUUUUCAGAGAAAAUGCAGUGUGUACAUUACAGCCUAGUGAUAACUUCACUGGCCACUGCUCAGAUGGCUUCUAGAGGCCCUUCCUAAGGCAGUCCUGCCUAGUGUGCAGUACUGCCAUUCAGUGUCUCCACCCUGUGCAUGAAGACACUGCAUAUUCCUCAAAGAGAUACAUUGAUUCAAUGCAUCUCUAUGCGGAGAUGCUAAUAGGCUGUGUUUGGCAUCUGCUGGCUCUGCCUCCUUGACAGUCUCAGGCAACCCAAUGCUUUCCUACGCGAAAGCAUUGUGAUUGGCUCACAACACCACUUCUGAUGAUAUCAGUGAAGCAGGCAGAUCAGGGACACAGUCAGCAGCAGCAGACCGGAAUAAAAGUAAGAGUUUGCUAUAUUUAGAGGAGCAAGAGGUGGCCCGGGGUGCUAGAUGGGGGUUUUAACAAUAUAGUGUCAGGAAUUCAUAUUUGUGUUACUGACCCUAUAUUGUUCCCUUAACACAAACACAACUUCCCCCUAUCCCCCAAAACAAAAACAAAAUGACUUUUUCCCACUCAGAUGCUUCUCAUGGAGAUUUAUUAAUGACACAUGGCAUAUGCUAGGUAAUCAAUGCAAUAUCCCAGCGUUAGAAAAAAAAAAGCUAUUGAAUAUAUUUGACAUCCGCCAUCAGCAUGUAAAUUAUGCUAGCUUUUAAUCCCAUGAUAAUAAACCAUUUGUUAAUUAAAGGGACACUAUAGUCAGCAGAACAACUAGAGCUUAUUGUAUUUGUUCUGGUGAGUGAACCAUUCCCUUCUGGCUUUUUGCUCUAAACAUUGCUUUAUUUCAGAGAAAAGCAAUGAUUACAUUACAGCCUAGUGAUAACUCCACUGGCCACUCCUUAGAUGUCUACUAGAGGUGCUUCCUUGGGAAGUGCUGCACAGUGUGCAGGACUGACAUUCAGUGUCUCCACCCUCUGCAUGGAGAAACUGAACUUUCCUCAAUGUAUCUCUAUGAGAUGAUGCUGAUUUCACAGGGCUGUGUUUGUCUUGUGCUGGCUCUGCCCCUGAUCUGUCUCUUUGACAAGCUCAGCCAAUUCUUAUGGGAAAGCAUUGUGAUUAGCUAAGCUCAACACUUCUGAUGUCAGCCAAGAAGGCAGACUAGGGGCAGAGCCAGCACCAGCAGGCUGGAAUAAAAGGAAGAUUUUAAUUUAGGGGCUAAAUGGUGGUUUUAACACUAUAGGGUCAGGCAAUUUCAGGUUCUAGUUAAAUCUAUUUCUAUAGCAAUAGAAAAUUCAUCCUGUAAUAUACUACAAGAUAAAAUCCAAUGCUCUUGAAUUCAAAGUGAAUUUAGGGAGGUUGCAAUAUUAAAUGCAGCAAUUUUGGUUUCUAGUGACUAACAAGAACAGGUUUGCACGAACCUUGGGACACAGAGUUGCAUUGAACUCAGCAGCUCACUAAGAACGCUCGGGAAAACGUAUAAAAAAAAUAGAUCAAAGUUUGAAAACUGGAGCCACCAAAAUAAACAGCAAUCAUUAUAGGUUGCCAUGGUGAUGACUCCAUUUUUAGAAUGUCAGCAGCGAUCCACAACAGACCACCAGUCAACCUGGCCCCCCUCUUAAGGGACAGAACGUCCCCUUGUACUGUACAGCCUAUUUCUUUACCUGCCCAAUGGGUUAUUCAGAUUUAUGUAGCAAGUCACAAUCAUGAAGACUUUUAUGUAGAUAUAAAUUAUAGCCGAUUGUUCUAUUGCAACAGUAUGCUUUUCUAGCAGAUUAAUGAUGAUGCAUCUGAUUUUAUGAGGGCACCAACCACUCUGCUAAUGCAAUGAUUAACCCUUUAAAGGUAAUGUCUAAGUGUCUUUGCAUGCCUAUAACAGAACAGAAAUACCUGCACACUGCCUUGUAAUGCAAUGUUUUUUUUUUUCCUGCACUACAGAGUGGCUUUUUUUAUUUAAUCCUAGGCUGUAGAAAUAUGCUUGCUGCAUAAAAUACAUAAAAGAGACCAACGUGGUGUAAUUUGUAGGUAGAUAUUUUUUCCCAUUUAAAACACUCUACAAAAGUUAUUGUUAAAAGAAGGCAUUUAAUAAAAUGGGGACCACUAGAUCACUGCUGUGAUCACUUCCACAUACAUUGGGUAAUGAAUUAUGGAUACAUUGCAUAGUCCCCAUGCACACAUCAUGUUAUGUUGAGGGUAUAGACUAUAAAUGGGCAUUCUCAGAUAUACAGCAUAUGUAAAGAACUUUUUUUACAGGAGGUAUUUUGCAAUUGGUAAAGCAGCACACAAAAAAUAUUAAACAUACCACAUGAUAAAACUGUAUGGUAUGAUGGUCAGAUCCCCCAAUUGGGGAUUAUUUAAAAGGAUAAUAUAGGCACCAUAAUCACUACAGCAUGGUGUAGUACACUAAUGGCUAAACCUGGACUACAUUUCCCAUGACGCUCAGCUAGCUUUUAGAGAGUCUAAAACAGGGCUGUCCAACCUACGGCCCCCCAGAUGUUGCUGAACUACAACUCCAGUGAUUCCUCUGUUUCAUAGAAAGAAUCAUGGGAGUUGUAGUUCAGCAACAUCUGGAGGGCCACAGGUUGGACAGGCCUGGUCUAAAAGCUAGCUGAGCAUCAUGGGAAAUGUAGUCCAGAAACAAAUUAUGGUGUCAAGGUUAGCCAUCACUGGUGUAGUAGUUCUGUUUCCAGUAGUGCCUUGGUGCGCUCCCACUGUAAGAAGUCAAGUGAAGUCAGACCAUUCUAAAAUAAUUUAAGUAUGCCAGUCCUCACCUCAGAGCUGUAAGCUCUUGCUCAGAAGUUUCUGCUAGCUCUACGGAGCUAUGGCGCAGGCCCAGCUCGUUGGCCGAGUGUGUCAGCUAACCACUCUCUGAUCCAGGCUUAGCUCAGGUAGAGAUCUUACGACUGUCAAGGAGGCCGAUUGUGGCACCCAGCAAACCCCAGAUCAAACGUCAAACAGUUCUAAAACAGUUUGACUAGUUUCAUUUGGGGGUGCUAGUGCACUGUAAUGGUUAUGGUGCUUGGAAUGUUCCUUUAAAUCACACAAGUCACACAAUUCAUGCUUGUGCCUGCAGUCUGAUCACUAGGCCGUUAUAAACUAAGCAGCAAAUGUAAUAAAAAUACAUUUAAAAAGGAAGGCCAAAAUCUGUUAAUUGUAAGAAUUUCCCUCAAUUCAACCAGAUUCCAAACUUGGCUAUGCUGUCUUACAUUUAAUGUUUUCAAUUGACAACGGAUCCCUGUUUUAACUAUUUAACGUAAAAACCACUUCUGUUAAAUCCUAGAAAUAAUGGGUGAGAUCUCACAUUAAUUCACUAAACAAUACUUUGUACUGAAUUCACUCAUUUACAAGAGGACUCUUAGCUGUAUGUCCAGAGUGGGUAUUUUAGUCUGAACGAAUGUAUCAGCUUAUCACAACUCAAUGUUUAGGGUAUGAACUACUUACAGAGCUUUUACUUGUAGUUCCCUUACCACCAAAUAUACCUUCCUCCCCCUCUCUCUCUCUAUGUAUUAUUUUUCAAGUUUUAAAGUUCUAGCACAAUGCAAAAUGUGCUCUUUAAAAAAAAUUUAGGGAUUCAUUCACUAAACCAGUGGGUGCCCACAAGGUAUAUCCCCGGAUGUUUCAAAAACUACAGCUUCCAUGAUGCUUUGUAAUUCCAAUGUCAUGCAAAGCAUCAUGGGAGUUUUAGUUCUACAACACAUGAGGAUCUACCUUUUGGGCACCCCGGCACUAAACUGUUUGUCAAGCAGAUUUGUAAAAAAAAAUAUUAAAAAAAUGGAUAUACCGAUGGUCUAAAUUGUACAAGUCUGUUAUAAAUCAACCACUAUGAGCUUUUUAGCGAAUAAACCCAUGGACAGAUUAAUUAUAUGAUAAUCACUAUUUCACAAGCUCAAUAAUUAAUUUAUUUUCUUAUUGUAAUUAAAGGCCAGCAUCAUGUUGACAUUUCUUUUUCUAUGAUGCCCAACAUUUGUUACUGUUGUAUGCCAUUGUCGGUAAUUUUUAUUGUUGCUUUGCAAAAUGUUUGCCCCUGACACCCAUCAGUGCUGUGAGGGGGGCACAGUAUAAAAAGCUAUAACAGGCCAAAUACAGGCACAUGGGGGAAUUAAUUAUAUCUUUACCAAUUGUUUUGUGUGUAAAAUUUCAAUAUUUAUUUUAUAAAAUUUGUGUACAUUGUUUCAUUUUGAAAACAUUAACUGUAUAUUUACUUAAGCCAUUUGUGUAUUAAUUGUUUGUUUGUUUUUUAUAUACCUAAUGGUAUGCACUGCUGAUGACAUAAUUGCAGUAUUCUUUCCCUUUGCUCAUUUAGUUACUGCAUAACGCUACUUUAAAUACUAAUAGAACGUGUACUUAAUAUUGUACAAAUUCAAUUUUUGCAUCAUUACAAAAUAAUAAAUAGAUGAGCAUAUUAUUGUUUGGAUAUUUUGUUCUUAUUAUAUGGUACAGCAGGUAAAACAUUUUACCAUAACUUUCAUGUUAUGGUCAAGCUUUAAGAUACAUUCAUUUAUAAUGGGAAGAUGGUCAGAAUUGCUGUCAGGUACUUGCAAAAUGAAGCCACUGG